rnacentral:rRNA from 1 species
CCAGACUCCUACGGGAGGCAGCAGUGGGGGAUAUUGCACAAUGGGGGGAACCCUGAUGCAGCGACGCCGCGUGGGUGAAGGAGUGCUUCGACAUGUAAAGCCCUAUCGGCAGGGAAGAAAAUGACGGUACCUGAGUAAGAAGCCCCGGCUAACUACGUGCCAGCAGCCGCGGUAAUACGUAGGGGGCAAGCGUUAUCCGGAUUUACUGGGUGUAAAGGGAGCGUAGACGGCAGUGCAAGUCUGGAGUGAAAGGCGGGGGCUCAACCCCCGGACUGCUCUGGAAACUGUACGGCUGGAGUGCAGGAGAGGUAAGUGGAAUUCCUAGUGUAGCGGUGAAAUGCGUAGAUAUUAGGAGGAACACCAGUGGCGAAGGCGGCUUGCUGGACCGUAACUGACGUUGAGGCUCGAAAGCGUGGGGAGCAAACAGGAUUAGAUACCCGAGUA